rnacentral:rRNA from 1 species
AUUGAACGCUGGCGGCAGGCCUAACACAUGCAAGUCGCACGAGUGGCGGACGGGUGAGUAAUGUCUGGGAAACUGCCCGAUGGAGGGGGAUAACUACUGGAAACGGUAGCUAAUACCGCAUACCCUCGGAUGUGCCCAGAUGGGAUUAGCUAGUAGGUGGGGUAACGGGUCACCUAGGCGACGAUACCUAGCUGGUCUGAGAGGAUGACCAGCAACACGGGAAUGGAGACACGGUCCAGACUCCUACGGGAGGCAGCAGGGGGGAAUAUUGCACAAAGGGGGAAAGCCUGAUGCAGGCAUGCCGCGUGUAUGAAGAAGGCCUUCGGGGUGUAAAGUACUUUCAGCGAGGAGGCGUUACUCGCAGAAGAAGCACCGGCUAACUCCGUGCCAGAAGCGGCGGUAAUAC